GAUGAACGCUGGCGGCGUGCCUAAUACAUGCAAGUCGAGCGAACGGACGAGAAGCUUGCUUCUCUGACGUUAGCGGCGGACGGGUGAGUAACACGUGGAUAACCUACCUAUAAGACUGGGAUAACUUCGGGAAACCGGAGCUAAUACCGGAUAAUAUUUUGAACCGCAUGGUUCAAAAGUGAAAGACGGUCUUGCUGUCACUUAUAGAUGGAUCCGCGCUGCAUUAGCUAGUUGGUAAGGUAACGGCUUACCAAGGCAACGAUGCAUAGCCGACCUGAGAGGGUGAUCGGCCACACUGGAACUGAGACACGGUCCAGACUCCUACGGGAGGCAGCAGUAGGGAAUCUUCCGCAAUGGGCGAAAGCCUGACGGAGCAACGCCGCGUGAGUGAUGAAGGUCUUCGGAUCGUAAAACUCUGUUAUUAGGGAAGAACAUAUGUGUAAGUAACUAUGCACAUCUUGACGGUACCUAAUCAGAAAGCCACGGCUAACUACGUG
rnacentral:rRNA from 1 species